rnacentral:lncRNA from 10 species
CAAACAUUCUUGUGUGGAAAGUUGGCUAUGCCUCUAAUUUUAUUCUUAGCUCCUAUGCCUUUCCUUGUGUUUUUCAUUUUCAGCCACAAAACCACAGGUUUAGUCCUUUGCACAUCAAAUAGCUUUGUGAGUAGGCAGGAAGAAAAGUAAAUGCAAAGCAAGUUCUUAGAGAUGGGGAGUUUUAUUUUAAAUUGGUCAAAUAAUUCAGUGUUUAAAACUUCUGGUAUUUAUAAAAAUGCAAAAUAUAGAAAAAUUGAAAAGUAUAAGAAGGAAGAAAAAAGUCAUGGUCUUCCACAUAUCAAGAUAACUAUUGCCAAUUAUGAGUACAUUAUUUAUACACAAUUAUUUAAAAAUCAGCAUUAUUUUUGUAUAUACUAUAUAAAGUAUGUUCUGAUACAUCAAUACAUCAUUUUCUGGUAUAAAAUACGUUCUAAUACACCAAUGCAUUAACUUCUGAUACAAAAUACAUCAAUGCAAUAUUUAGGAUGCAAUUUUGUAAUGUGUAGUAAGUGAAGUUCAACAAUUAGGUAAUGUGUUGGGCAUUUGUCAGUUUAAAAAAUACUGAAUAUUGACAUGAUCAAAUGAGAUGUUUGCAUAAUUAAGCAAUAGUGAUGCCAGACAAUUAAAACAUUUAUUUCAUCAAUGAACCUCAUUUGCAUAAUUCAUAUCUCAUAGUGGAUAUUUCAUCUCUAUUUACAUUUAGCAUUCCUUACUAAUCAUGUGUUAUCAAGUAUUAUCAAAUCUUUGUCAAAUGCAUCUUUACCUUGUAUGUGUUAUUUGGCAAUGUGAUUAAAAUAAAAAAAGACUGAAUUAAAAAAGUGAGACUAAAGGCCAUACAUUUAUCGAAAGAAAAAAAGAGGGGAUAUUACAACAGGGCUUGGCAAACUUUCUGUAAAGAGCCAGCAAAUAUUUUAAUCUCUGUGCGCCAUAUGGUCUUCAUCACAACUACUCAUGUCUGCUGUUGCAGUGUGAAGGCAGACACAGACAAUAUGUAAAUGAAUGAGUGUGGAUGUGUUUCAAUAAAACUUUAUUUAUAGACACUGGAAUUUGAA